rnacentral:lncRNA from 1 species
UUUCCUUUCAUGUCUUAGUUUUGCCACCUUAGGUAAAAACACUGACUUCUAUUUUCUCUAUUUCUCCUUUUUUUCUUGGUCUCACCGUAGGAACCCCCCCCCUUCUCUCUUCCAGUUUGUACUAGUUGUGAAAACUGCAGAAUUUUGAGCAAGUAAACAAAUAUAUGAGUAAGAACUUUUUACUUAUAUUUUACUAAAUUUAAUUGAAGUAUAACAGACACAGGGAAAAAUGCGCAGAUUACAAGUUUCGGCUCAAGUAAUGUCACGUGGUGAGUGAACCACCAUGUGCCCAGCUCCAGCUCAAGAGACAAGAAGCACUGGCCGCUGAGAAGCUGCUCUGAGCUGUUCCGGUAGUUGCCCCUGCCCAAGCCGGCCUGUGAUGGUUAAUACUGAGCGUCAACGUGAUUGGACUGAAGGAUGCAAAGCAUUGAUCCUGGGAGUGUCUCUGAGGGUGUUACCAAGGAGAUUCACGUUUCAGUCAGUGGCUGGGAAAGGCAGCCCCACCUCGAUCUGGUGAGCACCAUCUAAUCAGCUGCCUGUGAAUAUACAGACAUACGUGAAAAGGUGAGACUGACCCAGCCUCCCAGCUGGACACUUCCUGCCCUCACAAGUCAGCCUCCACGUUCUUCAGUUUGGAGACUCGAGCUGGCUCUCCUUGCUCCUCAAGCUUGCAGACAGCCUAUUGUGGGACCUUGUGAUUAUGAGAGGUCGCCAGCACCGUGUACAGGAGAGGUCGCCAGCACCGUGUACAGGAGAGGUCGCCAGCACCGUGUACUGGAGAGGUCGCCAGCACCGUGUACAGGAGAGGUCGCCAGCACCGUGUACAGGAGAGGUCGCCAGCACCGUGUACAGGAGAGGUCGCCAGCACCGUGUACUGGAACAUGCACCGUGUGCUGGGGGCUUUAUAGCCAUUGUUGUGUCUCUCUAGAGCCCUGCAAGCAGGUAUUAUCUCUCUAUGAAAAUGAGGAAGCAGAUCCCGCAAAAGGAAGUAUGUUGCAGAGCUGCAGCUGCUGAAAAAAAGGCCGUGUGAGAAUGUAAGCUCAGGUCUGUCUGCCUCCGAAAUUGUUCCUUUUAUAGAGAGAGGAAUGUUCAGGGCAUCCAAGAAACUCGUGUGUGUGUGAGUGUGAGUGUGUGUGUGAGUGUGUGUGUAUGUGUGUGUAUUUGUGUGAAUCUGAGUGUGUGUAUGUGUGUGUGAGUGUGGGUGUGAAUCUGUGUGUGUGAGGAUGUAUGUGUGUUUGUGUGAGAAUGUGUGUGUGAAUCUGUGUGUGUGAAUCUGUGUGUGAGAAUGUAUGUGUGUGUAAAUCUGUGUGUGAGUGUGUGAAUCUGUGUGUGAGAAUGUACGUGUGUGUUUGUGUGUGUGUGAAUCUGUGUGUGUGAGAAUGUGUGUGUUUGUGUGUGAGAGAAUGUAUGUUUGUGUGUGUGAGAAUGUAUCUGUGUUUGUGAGUGUGUGUGUGAGAAUGUAUGUUUGUGUGUGAGAAAAUGUAUGUGUUUGUGAGAAUGUGUGUGAGAAUGUAUGUGUGUUUGUGUGUGAGAGAGAAUGUAUGUGUGUGUGUGAGAAUGAAUGUGGUUUGUGUGUGUGAGAGAAUGUAUGUUUGUGUGUGUGAGAAUGUAUGUGUGUGUUUGUGUGUGUGAAUGUAUGUUUGUGUGUAUGAGAAUGUGUGUGAGAAUGUGUGUGAGUGUGUGUGUGAAUGUAUGUGUGUUUGCGUGUGUGAGAGAAUGUGUGUGAGAAUGUAUGUGUGUGUGAGAAUGUGUGUUUGUGUGUGUGUGAGAAUGUAUGUGUUUGUGUGUGUGAGAGAAUGUAUGUUUGUGUGUGUGAGAAUGUAUGUGUGUGUGUUUGUGUGUGUGAAUGUAUGUGUUUGUGUAUGAGAAUGUGUGUGAGAAUGUAUGUGUGUGAGUGUGUGUGUGAAUGUAUGUGUGUUUGCGUGUGUGAGAGAAUGUGUGUGAGAAUGUAUGUGUGUGUGAGAAUGUGUGUUUGUGUGUGUGUGAGAGAAUGUAUGUGUGUGUGUGUGUGUGUGUGAGACUGUGUGUGUGUUUGUGUGUAUGUGUGUGCAUUUCUCUAGGCAGAGGACCUGUAGCUUUCAUUAGAUUCUCAGAGAGGUCUAUGACUCCAACAAUGUUACGGAACAUGGAUUUAUGUAGACAUCUUAAGGAACCCUUCCAAGUAUUUUGUAAGGUGGAAAGCUAAAGCCCUCAGGAUCUGGUGCACCCUUCUUUACACAUCAAAACCUAAGUGAAUAUUUGCAGGGGGCAGGUGACAGGGCACAACUUUUCCUAUUAAUAGGAUUCUUCCUUUUCAAUGACACGAAUACACAUCAAACACCUGUACUCUCACCUUAGAUGAGCUCCUAAACAGAGCAUAACUUUUUCUUCCCUGUAUGCCCCAAAGCAUGUGGCAGAAAGAGAAAAUGGUCACCCCCAGGGCUAAGUGGCAUGAAGCAGGCAGUGAGCUCCUGAGGAUGGAGGUCAGUGAUUGGAGUGGACGGAUCAGCACGAGCUCAGGAAGGAGCUUGGGGAGCAAUGCAGGUAGCAUCUGCUCACGUGAGAAGGUGAAACAGCUUUGAGAAUGGCUGAAUUUUCCACAUACUCACUUCACACAGAGCUUCUGGUAACUCAAUUAUUUGUAACCAGAGGAGCCCACUCCGGUGGUGAGACCCACUGGGCCCUGCACACCCACCGUCAUCACCAUAUGUGCCAACCCCUUGUGGUGGACACAGCACUGUGCCAACUGCUUCCUGCUCAUUUUUCCCUAAGUUCUUCUCUUGAUCACCUAAUAAAGAAUAUUUUACAGACGAAGAGCUGAAUCUUAGAGAGGUUAAGUCACUUGCUCCAGGUCACCCAGAGAGUAAGCGGUGGCUCUAGGAUGGGAACUAGGCUGCCUUCGACCUGCUGAUUAACAAUUUGAAGGCCCUGGGCCCCAGGAGGGUCAGCGUCCACCCCAGUCUCCCUGGAGUUCGGUUCUAAUUUUUGUUUUCCCAUCUGCUGGCUCCAGCAGCUUGGACCAGAUGGUGACGUCACCUCCCACGCAGGUUCAUUUUCUUCUCGGGAAGGGGUGCUAAGAAGCCAGUUUUCACAAAUCACAGAAGCAAAGCAGAGGGGACACCUGGCGCUCUGGGGGAUGGGGUUGGAGGUUCCCAGAAAGGUGCGGCGGGGAGAGCGCCACGGACUGGCAGUGUGCCCUUGGCAAAACACAGCAUUCCAAAAAAGGAAAACAGAACAGAUCAGUUUAGAGGCCUCUAGAAUCAUGGGGCUAAUUGGGAUUGUGACAGGAUUAGGAGUAGGAACCCAAGCUCACAAAGCUUUCAUC